AUUGAACGCUGGCGGCAUGCCUUACACAUGCAAGUCGAACGGCAGCGGGGGAGAAGCUUGCUUUUCCUGCCGGCGAGUGGCGAACGGGUGAGUAAUACAUCGGAACGUGCCCUGUAGUGGGGGAUAACUAGUCGAAAGAUUAGCUAAUACCGCAUACGACCUGAGGGUGAAAGUGGGGGACGCAAGGCCCCAUGCUAUAGGAGCGGCCGAUGUCUGAUUAGCUAGUUGGUGGGGUAAAGGCCUACCAAGGCGACGAUCAGUAGCUGGUCUGAGAGGACGAUCAGCCACACUGGGACUGAGACACGGCCCAGACUCCUACGGGAGGCAGCAGUGGGGAAUUUUGGACAAUGGGCGAAAGCCUGAUCCAGCAAUGCCGCGUGUGUGAAGAAGGCCUUCGGGUUGUAAGGCACUUUUGUCCGGAAAGAAAUGGCUCUGGUUAAUACCUGGGGUCGAUGACGGUACCGGAAGAAUAAGGACCGGCUAACUACGUGCCAGCCGCCGCCGUAA
rnacentral:rRNA from 1 species